AGUCGUAACAAGGUCUCCGUUGGUGAACCAGCGGAGGGAUCAUUACUGAGUUUACGCUCUACAACCCUUUGUGAACAUACCUAUAACUGUUGCUUCGGCGGGUAGGGUCUCCGCGACCCUCCCGGCCUCCCGCCUCCGGGCGGGUCGGCGCCCGCCGGAGGAUAACCAAACUCUGAUUUAACGACGUUUCUUCUGAGUGGUACAAGCAAAUAAUCAAAACUUUUAACAACGGAUCUCUUGGUUCUGGCAUCGAUGAAGAACGCAGCGAAAUGCGAUAAGUAAUGUGAAUUGCAGAAUUCAGUGAAUCAUCGAAUCUUUGAACGCACAUUGCGCCCGCCAGCAUUCUGGCGGGCAUGCCUGUUCGAGCGUCAUUUCAACCCUCAAGCUCUGCUUGGUGUUGGGGCCCUACAGCUGAUGUAGGCCCUCAAAGGUAGUGGCGGACCCUCUCGGAGCCUCCUUUGCGUAGUAACUUUACGUCUCGCACUGGGAUCCGGAGGGACUCUUGCCGUAAAACCCCCAAUUUUCCAAAGGUUGACCUCGGAUCAGGUAGGAAUACCCGCUGAACUUAAGCAUAUCAAAAGCGGGGGGGAA
rnacentral:rRNA from 1 species